AUUCCUUUCUUCUUCCUCCUUAAGGUCUAAACGUUUAUUGAACGGAGGCUCAAAACCGAGUUACUGAACUAGGCUUUCAGUAGUAGACACGUGUCAUGUUUAAGAUUUAUUUUAUUCAUUUCCAUCCAUUGUGCCAAAGGACCUGCUCCAGGAAAAUGCUCCCCUGUUGAUAGGUGCGGGAGAGUAAAAGGGAGACGAUGAAGCUAAAUUAAAACUGAAGUCCUUUGUGCUCAGGGAAUAUGACCUUAGAGUGGGAGAGGGGCGGGGAGUGAGUAGAAAAGUCGGCGAAGCAAAAAUAAGGAAGGUUGGGGCCCUGUAACCUAGCAUCCUGAAAUAUCAGCGUAGGUAAGGUAGCAGGCAAGGCACGAAUGCACUCAAAGCCCAGGUGUACUUCCCUCAUCAAAUGCUGGCUCCCGAAGGGUACUGAGGGGAGGGGUCACGCGGGGGGAGGGGGGGUGUCCCUGGAUGGUUUUUUCCUCUUUAGGGACCUGCUUGCCGGAUGAUUCCGUCUCCCACUUGCUUCUCUUCGGCUCCUUCUUUCCCAUCUGCCAGGGGAGCUUAAAGACAUCUCUGCCGCCCAGUUACAAAAAGUGGCAACUUCCCCUCCGGCCCGCAGACUGAUCGCUCAUUUGAAUGCGUUUCCUUUUCAUUAAGAACAAAGGUUGGAGUCCGAGCCUCGCGGCGCGGCGGCCGGAAAGUACAAGAUGUGUGUCGAGAGCAAACACACACACACACACACACACACAGAAUGACCCACGAGAAAGGGAAAGGGGAAAACACCAAUCCUGCGCUGGGCUUUUUCGACUUUUCCUUUAAAAAGAAAAAAGUUUUUCAAGCUGCGCGGGCUUCCUGUGCGCGGCUGAGCCGGGGCGCAGCGCGACGGUCCCAUCGGGCGGCCUCCACCCUCGGGACGCGAGCGGAGCGCCGAGCCCAGCGGCGAUCACGCGACGCGGGGAAGGAAGGAAGAUCUCUCCUUUCAAAGAUAACUAGCCAAAUGAACAUAAUAAACAAGUCCAAGCAGUUGGAGGGGCGGCCGCCACCCCACCGUCUCCAAAUAACUGAUUCGCAUUUCCGAGACGGUUCACCUGAAGCCUUGCCUGCCACCUUGGUUCUCCCACCUGAAGGAGAUGGUUCUAACGGUGGCGCAAACCAGGAAGGGGAAAUCUGUGGUUUACGUUCUCUGUGCCUCAUCCCUCUCGGAGAGCUGGAGGCUUGCUGGAGGCUAUAUGCUGUUAAUGCUAAUUGUGAUAGGGGUUUUUACCUCCGUCUGACUCCUACAUGUUAGCAUUAACAGGGUAUGAUGCCUGUUACUAGCAUUCACAUGGAACAAACUGCUGCUGUGGGAGGAUGACAAAGAAGUGUGAGUCACCCUGCUGGAUAAACUCAGACUUUAAGCUUUAUUAUUUUUUGUUAAUCAUAAUCUGGUCACUGGGAUGUUCCACCUGAUAGUAAGUCUUUAAGAAUAAGGUCUUGUAAAAGAUUUAUCAACGGUAUCCUGAAAGCAAACUUUUUUACUUUAAUCCUUAAGCCCACAUUUUUUUUAAAAAAAUCUUUAAUGGAAAAUGUAUUCCUGUCCUUUUUAAUUCACAGUUAUGGUUUGUUCAUUAUAACUGUUUAUAAACACUUUGAAUAAUUUAACUAGAAAGAAAUAUAAACACAUUCUGAGUAUCUUUGCAGUUAAAAAUUAGGACUACUAUCCACUAAUUAAUCAUGGAUUGUUGGGAAAUAUGUUUAAAAAGAUUUAGAAAUAGGUAUUCCCCCCAUGUAACAAUUCUAUUUAGACAACUUCAGUUUCAAAUGGAUACUUUUAUAUGAAUCUUAAAGUAGACUUGAAAGGCUAUGGCAAUUAGUUUUUAAAAAAUGAAAGAUUUCAUUCUUUUUUAUGGCUGAGUAGUAUUCCAUUGCAUAUAUAUACCACAUAUCCUUAAUCCACCCAUUCGUCUGUCGCUGGACAUUUAGGCUGUUUCCAUUUGCAGCAACAUGGAUGCAAAUAGAGAUUCUCAUACUAAAUGAAGUUAAGUCAGAAAGAUAAAGACAAAUUCCAUAUGAUAUCAGUUAUAUGUGGACUCAAAAAUAUGGCACAAAUGAACCUAUCUACAAAACAGAAACAGACCCACAGACAUAGAGAAUAGACUUGUGGUUGCCAAGGGGGAGGGAAGAGGGAGUGGGAUGGAUGGGCAGUUUGGGGUUAGUAGAUACAGACUAUUACAUUUAGAUUAGAUGGGCAAUGAGGUCCUACUAUUCAGCACGGGGAACUAUAUCUAGUCUCUUGGGAUAGACCAUGAUGGAAGAUAAUAUAAGACAAGGAAUGAAUAUAUACAUAUGACUGGGUCACCCUGCUGCAAUAGCAGAACUUGCCACAACGUUGUACAUCAACUAUACGUUAAUAAAAAAAUCAAAAAGAUUUUUUAAACUUAGUAC
rnacentral:lncRNA from 1 species